UCUAUGGGAGUGUGUUCUCUGCAUAUUCAUUCGGGGACUAAGGAACAAACGGAGGCUGCACUAGCAUCACCAGAAGGGAGAGAUGAGGAGGAGAGGGAAAGCAAAAGAUGUUGAAUAGAUUAUUUGCUAUAUUAGAGAUUGCCAUUCAAAAAAUAAAUGCAUCAAAUUAA